GUUUCUGUAGUGUAGUAGUUAUUACGUUUGUCUAACACGCGAAAGGUCCCCUGUUUCGAGACCGGGCAGAAACA